UCAUUCGUUCAUUACAGGCUUGUUGCCUGCAAGGCCUAGGUGCCAAUCAUGUGACUCCUAUGUUAAAAUGGGUGGUGUGAACAUUUGCUUGGUCAUUCUGAAAACUAUCCAAGUAUCCAGUACUGUGUUUUGAGUUCCUAUAUCUGCACUGCAUGCCUCGAAUGAUAAAUCAGUAGAUUUUUUCCGGUGAUGUGUUCUC
rnacentral:lncRNA from 1 species